rnacentral:rRNA from 1 species
GAUGAACGCUGGCGGCGUGCCUAAUACAUGCAAGUCGAGCGAAUGGAUUAAGAGCCUGCUCUUAUGAAGUUAGCGGCGGACGGGUGAGUAACACGUGGGUAACCUGCCCAUAAGACUGGGAUAACUCCGGGAAACCGGAGCUAAUACCGGAUAACAUUUUGAACCGCAUGGUUCGAAAUUGAAAGGCGGCUUCGGCUGUCACUUAUGGAUGGACCCGCGUCUCAUUAGCUAGUUGGUGAGAUAACGGCUCACCAAGGCAACGAGGCGUAGCCGACCUGAGAGGGUGAUCGGCCACACUGGGACUGAGAAACGGCCCAGACUCCUACGGGAGGCAGCAGUAGGGAAUCUUCCGCAAUGGAUGAAAGUCUGACGGAGCAACGCCGCGUGAGUGAUGAAGGCUUUCGGGUCGUAAAACUCUGUUGUUAGGGAAGAACAAGUGCUAGUUGAAUAAGCUGGCACCUUGACGGUACCUAACCAGAAAGCCACGGCUAACUACGUGCCAGCCGCCGCAGUAA